GAGUUUGAUCCUGGCUCAGGAUGAACGCUGGCGGCGUGCCUAAUACAUGCAAGUCGAGCGAACAGACGAGGAGCUUGCUCCUCUGACGUUAGCGGCGGACGGGUGAGUAACACGUGGAUAACCUACCUAUAAGACUGGGAUAACUUCGGGAAACCGGAGCUAAUACCGGAUAAUAUAUUGAACCGCAUGGUUCAAUAGUGAAAGACGGUUUUGCUGUCACUUAUAGAUGGAUCCGCGCCGCAUUAGCUAGUUGGUAAGGUAACGGCUUACCAAGGCAACGAUGCGUAGCCGACCUGAGAGGGUGAUCGGCCACACUGGAACUGAGACACGGUCCAGACUCCUACGGGAGGCAGCAGUAGGGAAUCUUCCGCAAUGGGCGAAAGCCUGACGGAGCAACGCCGCGUGAGUGAUGAAGGUCUUCGGAUCGUAAAACUCUGUUAUUAGGGAAGAACAAAUGUGUAAGUAACUAUGCACGUCUCGACGGUACCUAAUCAGAAAGCCACGGCUAACUACGUGCCAG
rnacentral:rRNA from 1 species